GGGUGAAUUUGGGUGAAUUUGGGUGAAUUUUGGGUCAAUUUGGGUGGAUUUUUGUGAAUUUGGGUCGAUUUGGGGUGAAUUUGGGUGAAUUUGGGUGAAUUUUGGGUGAAUUUCUGUGGAUUUGGGGUGAAUUUGGGUCGAUUUGGGGUGAAUUUGGGUGAAUUUGGGUCGAUUUGGGGUGAAUUUGGGUGAAUUUGGGUCGAUUUGGGGUGAAUUUUGGGUGGAUUUGGGACGAUUUGGG